rnacentral:rRNA from 1 species
GAGUUUGAUCCUGGCUCAGAUUGAACGCUGGCGGCAUGCCUUACACAUGCAAGUCGAACGGCAGCACGGGAGCUUGUUCCUGGUGGCGAGUGGCGAACGGGUGAGUAAUGCAUCGGAACGUAUCCUGGAGUGGGGGAUAACGUAGCGAAAGUUACGCUAAUACCGCAUAUUCUGUGAGCAGGAAAGCGGGGGACCUUCGGGCCUCGCGCUCUUGGAGCGGCCGAUGUCGGAUUAGCUAGUUGGUGAGGUAAAGGCUCACCAAGGCGACGAUCCGUAGCAGGUCUGAGAGGAUGAUCUGCCACACUGGAACUGAGACACGGUCCAGACUCCUACGGGAGGCAGCAGCGGGGAAUUUUGGACAAUGGGGGCAACCCUGAUCCAGCCAUGCCGCGUGAGUGAAGAAGGCC